rnacentral:rRNA from 1 species
UCCUACGGGAGGCAGCAGUAGGGAAUUUUCGUCAAUGGGCGCAAGCCUGAACGAGCAAUGCCGCGUGAACGAGGAAGGUCUUCGGAUCGUAAAGUUCUGUUGACGGGGAAAAAAGACCGGGAAAGGAAAUGAUCCCGGAGGAGAUAUUACCCGUCGAGGAAGUCACGGCUAACUACGUGCCAGCAGCCGCGGUAAUACGUAGGUGGCGAGCGUUAUCCGGAAUGAUUGGGUGUAAAGGGUGCGUAGACGGGCAAUUAAGUUAGUUGUGAAAUCCCUCGGCUUAACUGAGGAACUGCAACUAAAAC